CUGAUUGGUUGAAAAAAAUGUUUUCUUUUGUUUAUUCUUUACCUCUUCCGUGUCUCGUCUCUCUCUCUCUCUCUCUCUCAGUUUUGCGAUUCACAGUUGAAUUGAGAGGAGAAACAUCUAAACAGCCGACGAAAAACCCAGCUCUCCUUGUUAUCGUCGAUUCUUAGUUCAUCCAAUUGGAUUUGAGCUCAAAGAUCCAUUACAUGUGAUCCCAGCAACGAAGAUCUCUGUCAUCUUGUGCGCUGCCAUCUACUUUGCCACUGGACUCUUCGGGUAUCUUCUCUUUGCAGAUGCAACGAUGUCAGAUAUUCUAUUUUGGCAAACAAGAAGACGGUGACCAUAGAAAAAAAGCUGAGAAGCAACGUCGACUCGAGACGUAAUUAGAGGCGAGCGAUAGAUUUGUAGGUGGUGAGGGGACGAGUGAAACUAGCUUUGAGGCGGAGGUGAAAAGUGGAGGAGAAGAGGAAGAAGCAGGGGUUAUUAUAUUUUAAAUAUGACAGUGGUUGAGUCUUAUGCUGGGGGCAAGAAAUCAGACAUUGUACAAUUGCCUGCAACUAUCACUUCUUUAGUUGUUGAAGGGAUAUCCCAAAACACAACUUGUAGUAUUUUUCCCUAGAGGGAGACGGUGAAUUAGAGUUGUCUGGUUCACCAACAGAAAAAAUGUCAUUCUUGGCUGUGGGGAAUCAAGGUUUAAUAUUUGAUUUUUAUUGUUUUCAAAUCUUGACAUAGUUUUACACCUAUAAGUGGAAAACUGUUUCGUAUGUUUUCUCACCCUUCAGCUGGGAAUAAAUUUCGAGACAACCAGGCCGCAUUCUUCUAUCCUUCAUUAAACAGAAUGAGGUUUAACAAGCAGCAGCAACAACCAGGCCGUAUUCUUCUACCCUUCAUUAAACAGAAUGGAGUUUAACAAGCUUUUUGUCAUGUUUGUUUAAACUUUUAAUGAAUGCAAUAUCUUUUUGUUUUUAAAAA